UGUAACAACUAACAUCUUUUUCCCCCAUGGGAAAUAAUAGUAUUAAUGUUCAAAAUGUUAAUGUAUGUGCCAACACAAACAACAAAACAGUGCUGCAAAAACAAGCCGCAGUCUCCUCUGCAAAUCAAACCACAACACAAUCAAGAGAAGACAAACACAGCAUUAAUGCCAGUCAUUCUCAUAAGCCAUGUGAAACCACAGCGAUCCAGUCACAGUCCAGCUGUUCAUAAGAAGCUUGUGUGUUUGUGUACUACUUCGCGCAUACUCAUAUGUGUGUGCACACCCCAGAGAGGAAAAGACAUGCACUUCAAGCAUCACUCAUUCUUGCACACUUGAGAGGGAUAGCGCGUAAGACAUGCUGUCUUCUGAAACGCCAGUCUUCACUCAUCUCCACAGCUGCCUUCCUGCUGUGCAUUGUCCCUGCUCAAGGAAAAAAAGCAGGACAGUCACUCUGGGAAAGCUCUGAAGCCUGCAGUGAUCAUAAGCCGCUAAAACAGGUUUUUCUCCCACCGGACACCGUCGUAUGAUCAGUGAUUUUUCAGCCCAUUUCUGAUAAUUAUAGAGCUACGUGCUCACACAACCGCCAGUCUUUGAUGUCUCUAAGGGAUGGACUACCCGUGAAAAAGACUCGCCGCGGCCUCUCUGCAAGAGCUGUUUAUUCCCCUCGGCAGUGUCACUGGGAAUGGAAGACAAUAGAGGAGCAGUCAGGACUGAUGUAUAUACGGCAUACGUGUGAGGAGAGCUAACAGGCCAUAUGCUCUUGACACACAGAGCCAUUAGACGCAAAUACACAGUGACACUGCUUUCUCGCUGCAGGCGGCCGGACUGGAAAUAAAGGUCAUUUCAGGUGCAGAAGCCUGUGAUAGGCAGCAUAUGCCACUUGUUUGGAUGGUGACAGGGGCAACUGCAGUCUGCGACCAAUCACUCGUGUUCCUCAUGCCGUGUUGUUGGGAAAAAACGAGCUCUGAGGGGAAAACAAAUGACAUUAGCCAUGCUCGGUCUCUCAAAUCCCCCUCUGUCUUUCAAACGGCAGGUCUCCGUAAUGAAAAUGGUGGAUGGCCACUUAUCAUCUAUAGGAGACAGGAAAUGAAGAUUCGACAGCCACGAGGGUUGCCAGAGUGAUGACAUGCAACAGGAAUGAGCGCAAUUGAAACGGAAGGUGACGAGCCUUUCACUGAACGUGGAGGGAAGGAGGUGGAAAUGACAGGGGAAUGGAAGGGCAGGAGCUCAUUAUAAUGCCCAGCGUGACAGCCACUGUGAGGCGUCUGCUCGGUGCGGGUCAGUGACAAUACACGGCAAAGCCCUGACAGAGAGAUGGGACACCCCCAGCAUGCACUGCACUCAUUGGCGCAGGAGACUCAUAUCAGACGACAACAGCUAUUCAGAAAGCAACUGAAGAGUUCGACCUCUGAGCCUGUGGUCAUCAGUUCAGGGCUGGCGAAAUUUACUCCAGAGCAGAAAGCUGAUAGAGAAAGAGCAAUGGCAAUAACAGCUAAUAGCUCUGGUUCCUGUCCCGGACGUCUGGCUUCCAGCAGAAUCAUGACCCAGCAAGUAUUUCACAGCCAGCUUUAAUCCCGGAAAGCAAUAAUGGCCACACACUCACAAACAACAACAGAGCAUUCACUAGAGUUCAAGACCAAUCAAGCUCAGAAAUCUCAGUUAUCAUGUAAUACUGAAAGACUAUUUUGUCAUAUUAAUUACAUGGCAUGUCUGUGCUGGCUGUGAAUAUUACAGCUUUAUGUAGAGGGUAGAGGGGAUAUGACACUACUGACACAAUCACACGGACCAUUUCACUCGUUAAAACUGCAGAUUUCUUUUAAUUGAAACAUUGUUGGAUAAUGUAAGUACACAAGUCAACAAAAUAACAUUGUUCUAGUGGUUUUGGGAUAUUUUAAUGCAAAAACUUUUGUACUCUUAAGCGUACUUGGCAAGAAUGGCUUCACCUAAAAUUUUUCGCAAAAAUGC